AAUUCUGACAGUGAUCUGAGCUUUUGAUCAGGCUAGUAAAUAAGUGGGGGUGGGGGGGCGGGGAAUACUGUAUUUCCUCAGGAGGUAAUCUUCCUUUCUGUUAAACCCAUAUAAUCCUAUUAUUUUCUAUUUUUUCUUUCCCAAGAGAGAUUAAAAAAUAAGUAUAUGUGGUCUAGAGAAGAAGGAUCCUGCUGAGAAGAAAGAGGAUCGAGUGGAAGUCAUUAGUCCUUAAGUUUAAAAAUAAGUUUUAAUCUUUAAUCCAGAUGUGGGCUUUGGCUUUCAUCAGUCUCUCUCUCUCUCUCUCUCAUCUUUGUCCCUCUGACACACACGAUUAAUACACACUACCCAUGCCUACCAUUACUCUUUUUUUUUCUAAGCUACUUUGAAAAAUUAUGUCCUUUUGAGUUGAGAACCAGUGGAGGAACCAUCUGUCUCUCCAUCUUUCAGCGUUCUGUGGAGAUGAGUGAUGGAAAGAAAUUCCUCCUUGUUAGGGUUGAGAGAAGGCAAGGAACCCGGAGCGCAGAAGAGCACAUGCCCCGGAUUCCAGGCAUAUUGUGUAUUGACUUGAACAUUGGAAAUGUGCCCAGAGUCGACACACAGACAUGAUUCCCUUUUCCCCUUCCCCCUCCUCUUCCCCCUCCUGCUCUCAGUAGGUUGUGAGGGCUUAGAAGCAGACACUGGGCGUGGAGGAGCGAACAUCGGACACGUUCCGGCUCCCCCAGCACUUACAUCCUAGGGGGAAUCCACAGGCGAUGCUUGGUGCUUUGAAGGAAAUUAAAUAGGUCUCCAGAGUGGUGGGUUGUGGGAAUGCCAGUGUGGACCCCACGGUCAGGGCAGGCCUCCCGUUGCUUGGGGUACCAUAGAUCAGAGACAUUUUAGAGUGUCUAACAAGACACUGUGGAUCUUUACCAAUGGCGAUUGGGUGACAGAAGUGUUACUUCAGGAGUCCAGGUUACUUGGAACCUUUUAGAAGGAGACAUUAAGGGGACUAGUGGUGGUGGUUGGCUGUUAGAAAGUCAUCUUCCGGGGGGACGGCACCAACGCCAACAUGGAAGAGCUUCUUGGUUCGUCUGCUGUCAUGUGUUGCGUGAGUGGGUGGCGGGGGCCCUGAUUGUUUUCCGGUUUCCCAGGGCCCCAGGGCCCCCUCUGCUCCCCGCACUGAUGAAUUAGUUACACGGCGUUUCCUGCUGGUGUGGUGCACCAGCCCGUGUGUCCAAGUGCCUCAGGUCCAGAUGUCUAGGACGAGUGUGUUAACUCUUACAGGCAAAGUGUUUUGUAGGCCAGGGUGGCCUCUUGUUCUUCUGAAUGGUUCUGUGUAUGCAUGGGUUCCUAAUAUUCCUGUGACAAGAAGCCAUCUUUGAUUCCCCAAGGUCUAAUAAUCACAGGGAGUGGAAAAGUUAUGGUUUUGCCAACUUCAGUUGCAGAUGAAGGAAUGGGAGGAAAGAUAUUACUUGCCUAUUUCCCCGCCUUUUUUUUUUUUUUUUUGUAACGAGUUGGUGUUAGAGAGAAUUUGGUUAGGUUGACUGCUUCUCCUCCCUUCUAAGAAAUUCCUGGGCUGCUCAAAAGGGCAGAUGGCAGUGGCUGUAGCUUUGAGAUCUCAGUCAGCCAGGUAAAGGGCUUACUGGUGAGUUAUGAUUUUAAUCUUUGGGGAAACUUGUUAUGAAGAAAUGUAACUCAGAUUUAUGUUACCUUUAUUGAUUGGUUGGUUGAUUUGAGAAAUGUAUGUGUGGGUCAUGCAUACCUGAGGAAGGCAGGCUGGAGACAUUUGGAGAUGUUAAAGCUGGGGUGGGAGAGUAUGAAAGAGCUUUGGAAUGCCCUUUUUUUUUUUUUUUUUUUUAAUUUUAAAGAUUUAUUCAUUUAUUCCAGAGAGAGAGCAAGCAGGGGAAGGGGCAGAGGGGGGAAAGAGAGAGAAUCUCAUAGACUCCCCCAGGUGCAGACAAGGGACUCGAUCUCACGACCCUGAGAUCAUAACCUGAGCCGAACCGAGAGUUGGACACUCAAUGGACUAAGCUAUCCAGGCGUCCCUGGAUGCCUUUUAAACAACAUUAGAUUUGACUGACUUACCUAUACCUGCCCUCACAUGUGCCUGAGAUCUCACCUCUCCAACAGGAAGAUGGGCCUGGGCUGGGUGUUGCCACUCACCCUCACACUCCCAGAGUUCUGGGCUAGGAGUGGCAGCUUUCUAAUCUAUCCCAAAAGAACAAAGUGCCCAGAAAGGCCCAGGGAAUCAGUGAUGCCCAGCUGAUCCACUAGCAUUUUCCAUCUGAAGCAAAAGAGAAGGAAUGAUUACAAUUUUUUAGGUCCCUUUCAUGGUUCAGUUCAGUUUGCAUUCUUAAGGGUUUGUUUUUAAAAUUACAACUAUGAAUUUUCUUCUUACUAUGUCUGCAUAUGUCUUCUGAUGUGAUAUGUCAUCUUUCUUUCAUUUUGAUGACCCAAAAGAAGUUACAAAUCAAGCUAAAAUUGUAGGAUUUGAAUGUAAGGUCUCUGCCACCUCCUUCCAGAUGGUUAAUUCCAGUAUGGUUUCAUGGCUUUUGUCCCAGAGGAAUGAUGAAGUAAAUAGUAGUUAUGUUCAGGAUACAGGGCUAUGGGAACCAUUAGAUCCAUACUGUAACUGAACUGGAAUCCUCCCAUUUCAAACGUCAGUACCGUGUCUCAGGCCGGGUGAGCCCUCCGUAUUUUCUUUUCUUCUUUUGAACAGCUUAGGGAUGGCCUCAGGCAAAAACUUCAGAUACGUGAAGUUUAUCUUAAUUAUCCUUCCAUGGCAUUUUGGGUAUUUUUUGCCUUUCACUUCAGUGCCUGAGUGACUCCUUCACAGAAACCUUCCCUGAAGUUCCACCUCCUGAAACCGUUGUCCCUUGAGCUGUCUUCCUCGCAUCUAAAAUGCCUGUUCUCCCAGUGCUGCAGAAGUCAGCUGGGAGGGAAGCAGCUCUUCAUUCUCCCAUAGCUCUGUUUUAAAAAUUUAUCUUCUCUAAAACGAAUUCCUUUUCUACUUAUUUUGAGAAACCUCUUUUCAAUGUUCUCUACACCCAGUGUGGGGCUCGAGCACCCAACCCCGAGAUCAAGAGUCAUGCGCUCUACUGACUGAGCCAGCCUGGUGCCCCUGAGAAACUUCUUCUGUAUACGAAGUUCAUAUGCAUCCCCACCACACAUCCGUUGCCACGUGCUUAUUUAUUUAUUUCUCUGACCUGUGUUUGGUUAUUAUUGAUACAUAAUAGUAUUUCCUAAUAUUUGACAUGUGUUUCUCGUGGAUUUCUUUUUUCAGUCUUCUUUAAAACUCUAAUCAAUGGUUCUCAAAUUUUGGUGUGUAUGAUAAUCACCUUGGGGAAGUUGGCAAAAAUAGGGGCCUAACCCAUAGUCAACUUCAGUUAGCCUGGGCCUCUAUUUUUAAUUAAUUUUCUAGGUGAUUCUAAUACCACCAGAGUUUGAGAUCCACUGCUCUGGGUCUUUGCUGCUCAGACAGUGGUCCGUGGGCUAGCCCCAGUGACAUCACCUGGGAGCUCACUAGAACGGCAUGUUAGGCCUCUCCCAAGAACGAAUGAGCAAACCAGAAUCUUCAUUUUGACAAGAUCUCCAGUGAUGCAGAUGCAUGUGAAGGGUGACAAAGCACUGGGAACAAUGCCUCUCAGACUUCCAAGCAUAUUGGAACCGCCUGCUCUACCUGGAGAGCUCCUAAUGUAAUUGAGUGGGGGUCAGGGGGAGGGAUUAGGCACUGAGAUUGUUUUGGAAGCUCCCUGGGUAAUUCUCACGGGCAGCCAGGAGAACUGCUGAUGUUGCUGCUGUCUUCCUUAGAACAAAGCUUCCCAACUGGUGUGCCUCGGGAAACAGUUACAGGUGUGUAUAGGUCACCUUGGCUCCUGGGAGGCGGCGCAGAGCAGCUAUGCAGCAUCGACCGAGAGACCUGCUAUACCUCAGUUACCUGCUGGGGUCAGCCCCUUCUCCUGACCUAGCCUCAUUUUCCCGUUCUCCACCCACAGAUGCCCUGGGAGCAUUACUGUGUCCUUCCGGGGGUGGGGAGCCUCCAGCCGGCUGGGGCGGGGCAGGGUGGUGGUUAUUUGUAAAUCGGGCCUUUAAAUUAAGUACUAACUUUGGUAUAUUUCCACUCUGGGUCUGCAAAUACUUCAGGAAACUUUCUUUGAAGAACAAGAGUAGAAAGUGUUUUAAUUCCUUAUUCACCACUGUGCUUGCCUUGAUGAUUCUGGCUCUUCAGCUGGAUGAAGAGGUACAUCUGUGGUAUACAUCCCAAUGAGGUGAAUCUCCACCAUCAUCCAAACUCUCCUCACCCUCUCCCUGCCCCCCACCCACCAGUUCCACCCCAGCCCUGUGUAGGCCAAGAAAAGCAUUCACGUCAGUUACUUUGUUGAAGAGUCGGCCUGUGUUCAUUCAGCUAAGUCUGAGUCUCUGUUAUGCACCAAGCAUCUGAGAUCUGAGAGUUGAGUAUAAUUGCCUUCUAAAUUGUUUUCUUGCUUCUCGGCCCCUCCAGUCCUUCCUCCAUAGUGCUACCAGAAAUGGUAUUUCUCAAAAGCACUGAUUAGAUCUUUUCCUCGCCGGGGCCCGUUAGUGGAAUUCUAGAGCCACGGGGUGCGCGCCAGCUUCUAAGACACACUCCGUACCUUGCCUCCAUAUCCCUGGGCUGCAGCAGUCCCUUUGUCUGGAUUCCUUGACUCUUACCCACCUGGCACACUUUCCCUCUCUGAGAACCUGACUGCAGCAUCACCUCUUGGAAAUGACGUGCGUUACCCCAGUUCAAGUUCGUUUCUCCUUCCUUGGUGCUUUCCCCUGGACUUGACACACCUGCUUCUGUCUUCACUUAACCAACAAAUGGAGUGCCAUGCUGCAUCAGGCCUGUUCUCAGGGCUGGGGAUGUGGCAGUGAGUGAGAUAGACGGAACCAUUGCCCUCAGAGAGAGGAGUCAAGAGAUCAAAUAGGAGGUUGGUUUCAGAUAGUGCUGAGUGCUCAGAAGAAAACAUGACAGCAAACAGGAUAGAGGCUGGGUGGAUUUGCAGAAGAUGGACAGAGAAGUCUUCUCCCUGGAGGUGACAUCUUUGCUGAGCUCUGAACAAUGACUGGAGCCAGCCAUGGAAGCAUCUGGAAAGGAGCUAUUUGGGGAAGCAGCACAUGCAGAAGCCCUGAGGCAGAAAGGCUCCAUGGCACUCGGAAGGGAAGAUAGGAGGGAGGUCAGAAGAAUAGUCAGGGGUCUGAGGGCCGAGGGCCUGUCUGCCUUGGCAAGGUAUUUGGUUUUAUUCCUAAGCGUACUGGGGACGGGCUAGAGGGCUUUAGGUGCUUCUGUGAGCCCCCAGCACCAAGUCCAGAGGACUAUCAGUUAACGGUUGAGUAGUGAAUGCAUGAGCCAUCUACGGUUUCUUAUGAUAAACUCUGUUUAAGUGUGUGAGUCAAUAACACCAUGUAAAUAACAUUUUCUGUUUAAUAAAAUCUGAUCAUUCUGCUGCUA